CGGGGCUCGGCCUUUUGUCGACUGCUAAAAAACAUUUGUUAUUUAUAAAUAUUAUAUUUACGAUACUAUUAAAUAUAGGAGAUUUGAUUUAUCAAAGACUCCGAUUCAAACGGAGACCAAUAGAACGCAACGAAACUAUGAGUCCUCCGAAGGGGCCACCACCAUUACCGAGUACUGAUUACGGAGUAUCUAUAAAGUCUAGUUUUCUCCUUUCUUGUCCAUGGUAUUUCAUUUUAU